ensembl:lncRNA
GUUCCUGUGAGUGUUGCUACGUCCUCAUAAAUAUUGGUUGAACCUGGAGCUGUUCUCUGCCAGGGACGUCAUGGAGCCUGGCGUCAGAGCCCCCCACCUGAAGGAAAACAUUGCCUCCUUGGCUUGGCUCCUUGCAAAUACAGGCCAUGGCCAAUUCCCAGAGGUUUGCAGGCCCAAGCCAGAACGUGCAGAGGUGUUCCAGGGAACUAUUAAAGAUAACAGCGGAGAAGCUGCCCAGUCUGUCGCGCCCAACCAUGCUGCUGAAUCGCUACGCUACAGAUCCCUGGUAUCAGCAACUCUUCAUCAAUCUGGUAAAACUGAAGCCAACUCUAAAAACAAACAUUUCCUCCAUGAACAAUAUGUUUGUUAUAUUUUCUCAUUUGUUUAUGAUGGCUGUGUCAGCCGCACUGAUUUACAUAAACACUGCCAAUCCUGGGACGUUACAUUCUCAACAAAAGUAGCUGAGUACAAACAGCAUUCCGAAGUUUUAAUUCAUAUUGUAUAAACAUAACAGAUGUUGAUAAAAUGAGCCAAAAAGAAAAUACAACAAAGGAGACCAUUUCAAGGGGGCUUUUGAUUAAAAUACAUUCCAGAUUGACAAAAUGAUACAAUGUUAAUGGAAUAGAUCAUUUAAAUGUCAUUAUUUGGCUCUUAUAGUUCUAUAAAGCAAAUAUAAAGCAACGCUUUUGAGAUUUAAAUGCCAUUACAGUACAGUGCCUAUACAUCAACUUAUAAAUAAAACUAUAUUUCUUUUCCCUUUCCUUUUUUUU